rnacentral:lncRNA from 1 species
GGAGGUAAUGCGAUUCGACUGGAACGAUUAAUCUUUCUCAGGUGAGAGUGUAUUGGGAGAAACAGGGGAGGGUGACAGGAAGAAGAGGGAUGGGAUGAGAUGUAGUUUAAAUGUAAGUGGGAAAAGAAAAGAAAAGAAUGUGAAGAGAAAGAAGCAUACGGCAGGUGAAUUAUCCUCUCUCACUUUUCCAUCAUAAGUUUAGUUCUCCUUUCUUGCGCUCUGAUCUAAUCAUUUCAUUUCUUGCAUCACCUUUUCUUCGUUCCCUACCGCUCUUCACUUUCUGCCUCCUCCACUCUUCAACAUUAACCACUCCUUUUUUAAAACCUGUUCUUUAUUCCGACAGUCUACCACUCCCCUCCCCUCUUGUAUUCUUUAUAACUUCCUCCCCACUCCUGUUCAAGGAUUUGUUGUAGAACAACCAAACGCAGGAGUGAACAAUGUUUCAUCCGAAGGACCUACAUUCUGUAGAGCUGUGUGCGAACGGUAUGAACUCACAUAUAACCACUGCUUUUUGAAACUUUGCUUGCGCUUAAGUAAGUGUAGUGGUAUCAAACCGCCGUAAGGGCCAGCACUGACAAACCCAUGUCAUCAAACUGUUACGGUUUAAUCAGGGACAAGUUCUUUCUAUAUCUGAUUUUGUGGGAAGUACCAUUUUCAAUUUGAAUCCUUAAAUUCAUUAUCUGACGAUCUUAAACAGUUUCCUUGAAAUCAAAGCAGCUGCUCUGGGUUUCAGAUUUGCUGCAGGCAUUGUAAGAUUUAGUCAUCUUGCACCUCUCCAGUUUUAAUCAUACAGGUUUCCAAACGUUUAGCCUUUCAGGUGGAGCAGGAGAGACCAAAAUCAAGACACACUGGCCCACUUGGGGUUUAACACGAUUCUGCUAGUACAAACACAUCCUGCUAUUUAGUCAAACUUCCCAAGUGUGCGUACAGUUGGCAAGGUGCAUGUAAUCCAUAUGCAUCAGCAUCCAAACAGUAUCCAUAAUCUUAUAGUCGAUGGAAGACUGACAAAAUCUAAACUAAGAACUAAUGCAUUACUGGCUGGGGUACAGUGCUGGAUCUGUGCUAAUUUCUUAAUUUGAUUUCCCUCCUCAAAUAGAGCGAGUAAUUUGUUUAGGGGACCAGAAUUUGCCCAAUUUAGCUGGUAAGCUCCUUGGCAGCAGUAAUGGGGAUAAACAGCUAGCAGAAACUGCAGCCUAAUCAUAGUGCGUCUGUUGAAGACUUGCACAGACACACAUAUACUCACUUACACACUUUCUUGCUAAAACACACACACACAUAAUCUUCAUUUUGCUUCCCCUGCCCCUUCUCUACAUUCCACCAUAAUUAUCUAGUUCAAAAUUACAGCUUUGCGGGGCGAAGGAGCUCGCCAACUAACCUGUUAGCCAACUCAAUUUGCUCACACACUCUUGUCUCACAUCAAGGAUUCACUGGUUUUCUCGCCUUAGCAGGGCAUACCAAUUCAGCUUCAGAGGAACUGUUUAAAUCAAAUCACUGCACUACAUUAUACAGUCACAGUAAUUACCCAAUGGUAAACGUGAAGAUUUCUCAGUAUGAAUAUAUAAUACUCAAACUGCACACACCAGUAUAUACAAACAUUAACCAACACAAAUGAAACUUUUGAAAUACAGUUUUCACUUCACAGAGAUUUAAUGGCUUAAAGGGAUAUUCCGGUGUAAAAUUAGGUUAGGGUUAAACACACCGUAGAGAUGAAUGUUGCAGACUGCUUGCUGCUCUAGUUAUACCAAUUUAAGUAACGACCGCACGAUAGCAAUACACGGCGAGCUACGGCUCCACGUACACACCUUAAUAAAAAUUUUAAAAAACACUCUAUAGCCACAAAUUAUGCUCAGAACAGCACCUAACUUCAUCAACAGGACAUGUAGGGUCCGAGUCAUAGCACUAGCCAUCAAACUUCUUUUUAGCUCUGCCUAAUUUCUUUAGCAAAGAGACUAAACACAACUCACCCACUCUCUCACAGCAGCCACUUGUUUGUGGGGGGAGCCCUAACGAGUCAAUCACAGAGUGCAGCAGGUCAUUUCCUUAGAGUGCAGCGGAGUUUCGCAGCUCAA